rnacentral:rRNA from 1 species
UUACCAUGCAGUCGAACGAUGAUGCCCAGCUUGCUGGGCGGAUUAGUGGCGAACGGGUGAGUAAUACGUGAGUAACCUGCCCUUGACUCUGGGAUAAGCCUGGGAAACUGGGUCUAAUACUGGAUACUACUUCCUGCCGCAUGGUGGGUGGUGGAAAGGGUUUUACUGGUUUUGGAUGGGCUCACGGCCUAUCAGCUUGUUGGUGGGGUAAUGGCUCACCAAGGCGACGACGGGUAGCCGGCCUGAGAGGGUGACCGGCCACACUGGGACUGAGACACGGCCCAGACUCCUACGGGAGGCAGCAGUGGGGAAUAUUGCACAAUGGGCGGAAGCCUGAUGCAGCGACGCCGCGUGAGGGAUGACGGCCUUCGGGUUGUAAACCUCUUUCAGUAGGGAAGAAGCGAGAGUGACGGUACCUGCAGAAGAAGCGCCGGCUAACUACGUGCCAGCAGCCGCGGUAAUACGUAGGGCGCAAGCGUUGUCCGGAAUUAUUGGGCGUAAAGAGCUCGUAGGCGGUUUGUCGCGUCUGCUGUGAAAGCCCGGGGCUCAACCCCGGGUCUGCAGUGGGUACGGGCAGACUAGAGUGCAGUAGGGGAGACUGGAAUUCCUGGUGUAGCGGUGAAAUGCGCAGAUAUCAGGAGGAACACCGAUGGCGAAGGCAGGUCUCUGGGCUGUUACUGACGCUGAGGAGCGAAAGCAUGGGGAGCGAACAGGAUUAGAUACCCUGGUAGUCCAUGCCGUAAACGUUGGGCACUAGGUGUGGGGGACAUUCCACGUUUUCCGCGCCGUAGCUAACGCAUUAAGUGCCCCGCCUGGGGAGUACGGCCGCAAGGCUAAAACUCAAAGGAAUUGACGGGGGCCCGCACAAGCGGCGGAGCAUGCGGAUUAAUUCGAUGCAACGCGAAGAACCUUACCAAGGCUUGACAUUCACCGGACCGCCUCAGAGAUGGGGUUUCCCUUCGGGGCUGGUGGACAGGUGGUGCAUGGUUGUCGUCAGCUCGUGUCGUGAGAUGUUGGGUUAAGUCCCGCAACGAGCGCAACCCUCGUUCUAUGUUGCCAGCACGUGAUGGUGGGGACUCAUAGGAGACUGCCGGGGUCAACUCGGAGGAAGGUGGGGAUGACGUCAAAUCAUCAUGCCCCUUAUGUCUUGGGCUUCACGCAUGCUACAAUGGCCGGUACAAAGGGUUGCGAUACUGUGAGGUGGAGCUAAUCCCAAAAAGCCGGUCUCAGUUCGGAUUGAGGUCUGCAACUCGACCUCAUGAAGUCGGAGUCGCUAGUAAUCGCAGAUCAGCAACGCUGCGGUGAAUACGUUCCCGGGCCUUGUACACACCGCCCGUCAAGUCACGAAAGUUGGUAACACCCGAAGCCGGUGGCCUAACCCCUUGUGGGAGGGAGCCGUCGAAG